CGGCUCAGUAACACGUGGAUAACCUACCCUCAGAUCUGGGAUAACUCCGGGAAACUGGAGAUAAUACCGGAUAAUCCGUGAACGCUGGAAUGCCUUACGGUUGAAAGCUUUAGCGUCUGAGGAUGGGUCUGCGGCCGAUUAGGUAGUUGCUGGGGUAACGUCCCAACAAGCCGAUAAUCGGUACGGGUUGUGAGAGCAAGAGCCCGGAGAUGGAUUCUGAGACACGAAUCCAGGUCCUACGGGGCGCAGCAGGCGCGAAAACUUUACACUGCGCGAAAGCGCGAUAAGGGGACCUCGAGUGCGUGCGCAAUGCGUACGCUUUUCAGAUGCCUAAAAAGCAUGUGGAAUAAGGGCCGGGCAAGACCGGUGCCAGCCGCCGCGGUAACACCGGCGGCUCAAGUGGUGGCCGCUAUUAUUGGGCUUAAAGGGUCCGUAGCCGGACCAGUUAGUCCCUUGGGAAAUCUUACGGCUUAACCGUAAGGCUGCCAAUGGAUACUGCUGGUCUUGGGACCGGGAGAGGUAAGAGGUACCUCAGGGGUAGGAGUGAAAUCCUGUAAUCCUUGAGGGACCGCCAGUGGCGAAGGCGUCUUACUAGAACGGGUCCGACGGUGAGGGACGAAAGCUAGGGGCACGAACCGGAUUAGAUACCCGGGUAGUCCUAGCCGUAAACGAUACUCGCUAGGUGUCGGCCACGGUGCGACCGUGGUC
rnacentral:rRNA from 1 species